CAGCAGCCGCGGUAAUACGGAGGGCGCGAGCGUUACCCGGAUUUACUGGGCGUAAAGGGCGUGUAGGCGGCCUGGGGCGUCCCAUGUGAAAGGCCACGGCUCAACCGUGGAGGAGCGUGGGAUACGCUCAGGCUAGAGGGUGGGAGAGGGUGGUGGAAUUCCCGGAGUAGCGGUGAAAUGCGCAGAUACCGGGAGGAACGCCGAUGGCGAAGGCAGCCACCUGGUCCACUUCUGACGCUGAGGCGCGAAAGCGUUGGGAGCAAACAGGAUUAGAUACCCCCGUAGUCCCUGUCUCUUAUAC
rnacentral:rRNA from 1 species